GACGAACGCUGGCGGCGUGCUUAACACAUGCAAGUCGAACGGAAAGGCCCUGCUUUUGUGGGGUGCUCGAGUGGCGAACGGGUGAGUAACACGUGAGUAACCUGCCCUUGGCUUUGGGAUAACUUCAGGAAACUGGGGCUAAUACCGGAUAGGAGCUCCUGCUGCAUGGUGGGGGUUGGACAGUUUCGGCGGGUGGGGAUGGACUCGCGGCUUAUCAGCUUGUUGGUGGGGUAGUGGCUUACCAAGGCUUUGACGGGUAGCCGGCCUGAGAGGGUGACCGGCGACAUUGGGACUGAGAUACGGCCCAGACUCCUACGGGAGGCAGCAGUGGGGAAUAUGGCACAAUGGGCGGAAGCCUGAUGCAGCAACGCCGCGUGCGGGAUGACGGCCUUCGGGUUGUAAACCGCUUUCGCCUGUGACGAAGCGUGAGUGACGGUAAUGGGUAAAGAAGCACCGGCUAACUACGUG
rnacentral:rRNA from 1 species